rnacentral:rRNA from 1 species
AUACGGGGGGGGCAAGCGUUAUUCGGAAUUACUGGGCGUAAAGGGCGCGUAGGCGGUGCUCUAAGUCGGAUGUGAAAACUCUGGGCUCAACCCAGAGCCUGCAUCCGAAACUGGAGUGCUAGAGUUCUGGAGGGGGUAGCGGAAUUCCUGGUGUAGCGGUGAAAUGCGUAGAUAUCAGGAGGAACACCGGUGGCGAAGGCGGCUACCUGGACAGAAACUGACGCUGAGGCGCGAAAGCUAGGGGAGCAAACAG